rnacentral:rRNA from 1 species
GCGUGAGUGAUGAAGGCCCUAGGGUUGUAAAACUCUUUCGCGCACGACGAUAAUGACGGUAGUGCGAGAAGAAGCUCCGGCUAACUUCGUGCCAGCAGCCGCGGUAAUACGAAGGGGGCUAGCGUUGUUCGGAUUUACUGGGCGUAAAGCGCGCGCAGGCGGUCCUUCAAGUCAGGGGUGAAAGCCCAGAGCUCAACUCUGGAACUGCCUUUGAGACUGUAGGACUUGGGUAUGGGAGAGGUGAGUGGAAUUCCGAGUGUAGAGGUGAAAUUCGU